UACGGAGGGGGCUAGCGUUGUUCGGAAUUACUGGGCGUAAAGCGCGCGUAGGCGGACCUGCAAGUCGGGGGUGAAAGCCCGAGGCUCAACCUCGGAACUGCCUUCGAUACUGCGGGUCUCGAGUCCGGGAGAGGUGAGUGGAAUUCCUAGUGUAGAGGUGAAAUGCGUAGAUAUUAGGAAGAACACCAGUGGCGAAGGCGGCUCACUGGGCCGGUACUGACGCUGAGGCGCGAAAGCGUGGGGAGCAAACAGG
rnacentral:rRNA from 1 species